CCUACGGGGAGCAGCAGUGGGGAAUAUUGCACAAUGGGGGAAACCCUGAUGCAGCGACGCCGCGUGAGCGAUGAAGUAUUUCGGUAUGUAAAGCUCUAUCAGCAGGGUAGAAAAUGACGGUACCUGACUAAGAAGCCCCGGCUAACUACGUGCCAGCAGCCGCGGUAAUACGUAGGGGGCAAGCGUUAUCCGGAUUUACUGGGUGUAAAGGGAGCGUAGACGGGAAGGCAAUUCAGGAGGGAAAGCCCAAGGCUCAACCAUGGGACUGCUUUUGAAACUGGCAAACUAGAGUACGGGAGAGGUAAGAGGAAUGCCUGGUGUAGCGGUGAAAUGCGUAGAUAUUAGGAGGAACACCAGUGGCGAAGGCGGCUUACUGGACCGAAACUGACGUUGAGGCUCGAAAGCGUGGGGAGCAAACAGGAUUAGAUACCCGUGUAGUC
rnacentral:rRNA from 1 species